rnacentral:tRNA from 2 species
GGCCUUGUGGCCUAAUGGAUAAGGCGUCGGCCUCCGGAGCCGAAGAUUAUGGGUUCGAGUCCCAUCAAGGUCG